ensembl:lncRNA
GGCCUUUCAGAUGGAGGUUGGAGUGCAGGCCGACAGCACAACACAAGCUCGCACAGCCUGAAUUGGCCAAAGAAGAACCGCCUCCCUACGGUCACAAGAAUGCCUGAAAGCUCCCAUCAAAGAGGCUCUGGGAAAAAAAGAGACAACGAAGGAGCCGCUGAGGCGACGGCCCCCAGCUGGCAGCUGGUACCAUUUGGCCGUGUUGGAUCCAGAAGCAGCAGAGACCGUUGAAAGAGUGGAAAUGAAAAAAAUCAAUGAGUCACAUUAUGCAUUGUUCCAAUCCCGCAUUCAAAGUGUGCUUGUACAAUUUCUGUACAACAUCCUCCCGGUACGAGCUUCCAGAGUUCAAAUCCUGCCCGAAAAGGCCUCCCUGGCGGGACGUCACGCCUACUCGACAUAUCGCGAGCGAUGUUUUCUUGGCCAUCUCUGGAACAGUGUGACAUGGGAUGAGCGGAGAACACUGUUGGAACACAGCGUGCAGAAGCCUCCAGUGACAAAGAUGAGUCUUGAGAUUUGGGAGUAAGUGCCGUGAGAUGUGACGUGACCAGAGGCCUGACUUUACCCUGCUGUGACCUACGCGUCGCUCCUAUCCAACAACUCUGACGGCAUCCACGAACAGAAAGACGGACGUCCGGGACAAUAACAUGACGGCAUGGUGGUGUGGACAGCAUGUGGUCUGAUAAGCCAUUGUACACGCAGUAAGAGACGUUUAUAACACAUGAGGGCUCACAUCAUCCUGCACACGAGUAAAGGGGGAAGUAUAAUAUCAUGAUUACCAG